rnacentral:tRNA from 1 species
UCCGGUAUAGUGUAGGUGGUUAUCAUACGACGCUCUCAAUACUACAGCGCCCUUGCUGAAGCAUCAAAUAGAACCGUUGAGACCCGGGUUCGAGUCCCGGUACCGGAA